rnacentral:rRNA from 1 species
GAUGAACGCUGGCGGCGUGCCUAACACAUGCAAGUCGAGCGGGGUUGUUUUGGAGCUUGCUUCAAAACAACCUAGCGGCGGACGGGUGAGUAACGCGUGGGCAACCUGCCCUGUGCAGGGGGAUAACAUGCCGAAAGGCAUGCUAAUACCCCAUAAAGCUAUUUUGUCGCAUGAUAGAGUAGUCAAAGAUUUAUCAGCACAGGAUGGGCCCGCGUCUGAUUAGCUAGUUGGUGGGGUAAAGGCCUACCAAGGCGACGAUCAGUAGCCGACCUGAGAGGGUGAUCGGCCACACUGGAACUGAGACACGGUCCAGACUCCUACGGGAGGCAGCAGUGGGGAAUAUUGCACAAUGGGGGAAACCCUGAUGCAGCAACGCCGCGUGAGCGAUGAAGGCUUUCGAGUCGUAAAGCUCUGUCCUAAGGGAAGAAUAAAUGACGGUACCUUAGGAGGAAGCCCCGGCUAACUACGUGCCAGCAGCCGCGGUAAUACGUAGGGGGCAAGCGUUAUCCGGAAUCACUGGGCGUAAAGGGUGCGUAGGCGGCUAAUCAAGCCAGGGGUGAAAGGCUACGGCUUAACCCGUAGUAAGCCUUUGGAACUGAUUAACUUGAGUGCAGGAGAAGAGAGUGGAAUUCCUAGUGUAGCCGUGAAAUGCGUAGAUAUUAGGAGGAACACCAGUGGCGAAGGCGACUCUCUGGACUG